AGAGCUGCGUCACAGAGCUCAGCGAGAGAGUGAGAGAGCAAGCUCCGUCGAUAGGUCUACCAGCAACAGCCCUGCUGCAGCAAGAGGGGAGAGAGGCAGCAAGAGAGGCAGAGAGGGCUCCAGGAAGAGAAGUGGCACCAACACCACGGAGUGGGCUCCUGCCACCAUCCACUGCCAUUUGCACCUCGAACCGGGGCUCGCUUGGCGUAGGAGGCUUCGCCCAUUGACGAUGCUGGAGACCCGGCGCGCUUAAUCCCACGGGGAGGGAGAGUGGGCAGACACCGAAAGGGUUAACGGGAAGGAAAUUUCUGGAACCUUCUCUUCUGCGGCGCUCCAGAGCGAGCGGAGGGCUGAGGACUGCGCAGAUGGUGCACGGGCACGGCUCCUCGGUCCAGUUCGUCUCCCUCACCGCCCAGCAAUGAAGAUGGCAGCUCUGCCUGGAAGUGCUGAGGACACAGCCAGCCUUGAGCUUGGUCCUUCUGGCCGAGGAAGUCUCCCGAUUAUGCAGUGGAGUGGUAACUUUGCUUUCUCAUACAACAGGGGCCAUUAUUCCAUAGCCUUUCAUCAUUCUAGGCUUACCCAAGUUUCAGGAUGUGCUAGCAGGAGUGUUUAAUCUCUGUUACUCACUGGCUGACAUCUCCAGCGCCAGGGUUGGUUGUUUAGCAACAACCGCUGGGCUCAGCACCGCAUGGCAGCCGUCCCCAUCCAUCGCCUGGGCUGCAGCCUGGCCUCUGCAGGGUGCUCUGGGAGACAGGGAGAGAGGGCAGGGUUGGAUUUACACCCUGGAUGGAAUUGUGGAGGUUUGGGUGUGCAGGCCGCAGGCGCUGCGGAUUUUUCGCGACGCCGUCCUUUGCGCAGGGCCGCCAUUUCCAACGGCAGUGCGGCGCAGGGACGGGGAGGGAAGAACCCGACAGACUGUACGUGCCACUCCCCACUUUCUUUCCCUCUUCCCCAUCUCCAUCUUUCCUCCUUCCCCUCCUUUCCUGCCAGAUUCCAUAGGGAAUUUCAGCCUCUUACUGCAGUCAUCACAACCCCUCCUGACUCACUGAGCCUUCGCUGGCUGUAGCUGGCUCCCUCGGAGCAUCCGUGCCUCCCGCAGCGCCAGAUCCGCAGAGCAGGGGAACAACAGGAACAGCAGCGACAACGGUGGUCCCUGCAGACAGACAGACGGGCAGAAAUACACACACACACAGGAGAACAGUCCCAGGCAGCUGUAGAGGUGUUCUGUACAGCCAGGAGCUGGACUAAGGCAUGAUGCUGGGUUGUGUGGAUGAUAGGUGGGUUGAGUCUGUUUUCUCGAGUGUUGGUUGCAUGGACAGCUCUUUGUGGUUUUCCCCAUCGUGGUUGUGGGGUGGAGAAGCCCUGACUUUGUAAAGCUGGUGCUGUUGUUUGAUGGCUUUCAAGGAGGUGCCACUGGCUGCUGAGUGUCUUCAGCACAAGGAUGUAUUUGGUUUAAUUCUUUUUGACAUCAUGUUUUGGCCACAGCGAUGGCUUAACUGUGCCUAAACGCAGAGAGGGUAAGGAGACGGAUGUAAGAGGAGUUAUUUCAAUGUUAAACUCCAGCUGUAAAUCUCAUUACUCAGGAAUUGAGGUUACUGUCAGCAGGUAAAUCUGUGGGACUGGCAGGAAACAAGGCUAAGAAGGGGACAUGGCAUAUUUCUGUAGGACAGCAGUGAUUAUGUGCACAGGGGUGGCACUGUCACCGUGAGCUGUACCUGGGUAACAUUCCGCGAUCGUUUUCCGCACAGUGCCGCAAAAGGACUGGGGAAAGCUGCGAUUUCUCCCUCCCUCUGACACUUGUGUGUGUGACACUGCAUGAGCUGAUUCAUGUUCCUGUAUCUGGGUUUCCCUGCUCUGGGGAGUGGGGUUUGCUCUGCCUCGGCCUUGGUGCAGCAUCGUGACGCAGCGUUCGGUACCACGCCGACAAAACACACGCAGUUUUCUCGGGCGUUCUGACCGCUCGGGGACCGCGGGACUCGGGGAAGGAAGGGCAGGAUUUCACAUGCCCAGGGUAUAAAUUUAAAAGCAUUACCUCUUCUUGUGUGCUAGUGAAGGAAGGCUCUGUGAGGGACGAGACAGCCACGAUCUCCUCCUGCUCUUGUUUUGCCGAUGGUCAUGUUACAUCUGUGACGCAGACGAAUUUUGCUGUUGGUUCCUGUCGGUGCUUUAGGGAGUGGAGCUGAUGGGGGCACAAGCUUGAAUAUGAUUAGAAAUAUUCAUUUCAUACUGAUGUUAGAGUUGAAACUAUACCUGAAGGGUCAGGGGUAUCAGGUCCACCUAGUGACCCCCCAAAUGGUGAAGGAAUUCGGAUGAGCCCCAGCACCCCUGGCCAUUUUGCUGCUCGCAGAGCAGGCUCGGAGCCUGCAGCUCUGCUGCUGCUGCUGUUCAUUUCCAUGUUAUACAAAUACAGCACUGGGCUCUGUGUCAGGAGCUUUCUGAUGCUGUGAGAAGCUUAGAGUCUACAAGCAAAUGUUUUUCUUUUCUUAUUUGGGAACAUUCAUUAAAACGUCUAAAUGCCAA